ACAGAAUGCAACAGAAACCGUUCAGGUCGCACAUAUUUGCAGGCUACUACGAUGUAAAGAGUAAAAGUGCCUUCUACCAGACGGAUAAUAUUGUUUCUAUUACCUAAGAAAACAGCUGUAUUAACAACAUAAUCGGGCUGCAGUUGAAGGAUGCAUGUCAGCUUCAGGACAGUGAUAAAGGACACGGCCUUGGAUUUUUUUUUUUUUUAUUGUAUUGUUCUGCAACUUAGUUGUAUGUAUGUUGCUAUAAUAUCCAAUUUUAAAAUACAUACGUAUUGUUAUUAGUUCUAUUUUAAGAAAUACAUAUUGCAUUAACGAUGUAUUUUAUUUUUUACAUUACUGUCACAAAUAUGUAAGAAUAUAGAAGCUUGUUUUGCAUGACUAUUUAUACCAGAUACAAAUGGUAGAUUUUUGUAUUAGAUUUGAAUGAAUCUUAUUUUUAAUAUACUGUAUACAGUGUGCUGAUUGGAUUUUGUAUUUUACUCAACUACAUUUAGUGAAACUGUGCUAAUAAAAAUGUUUUAAAUUAAA